AGUGAACGCUGGCGGUAGGCCUAACACAUGCAAGUCGAACGGCAGCACAGUAAGAGCUUGCUCUUACGGGUGGCGAGUGGCGGACGGGUGAGGAAUACAUCGGAAUCUACUUUUUCGUGGGGGAUAACGUAGGGAAACUUACGCUAAUACCGCAUACGACCUACGGGUGAAAGCAGGGGAUCUUCGGACCUUGCGCGAUUGAAUGCGCCGAUGUCGGAUUAGCUAGUUGGCGGGGUAAAGGCCCACCAAGGCGACGAUCCGUAGCUGGUCUGAGAGGAUGAUAAGCCACACUGGAACUGAGACACGGUCCAGACUCCUACGGGAGGCAGCAGUGGGGAAUAUUGGACAAUGGGCGCAAGCCUGAUCCAGCCAUACCGCGUGGGUGAAGAAGGCCUUCGGGUUGUAAAGCCCUUUUGUUGGGAAAGAAAAGCAGCAGGUUAAUACCCCGCUGUUCUGACGGUACCCAAAGAAUAAGCACCGGCUAACUUCGUG
rnacentral:rRNA from 1 species